AGAGUUUGAUCCUGGCUCAGGAUGAACGCUGGCGGCGUGCUUAACACAUGCAAGUCGAACGGUGAAAGAGAGCUUGCUCUCUGGAUCAGUGGCGAACGGGUGAGUAACACGUGAGCAAUCUGCCCCUGACUCUAGGAUAAGCGCUGGAAACGGCGUCUAAUACCGGAUACGAGCUGCGAAGGCAUCUUCAGCAGCUGGAAAGAACUUCGGUCAGGGAUGAGCUCGCGGCCUAUCAGCUAGUUGGUGAGGUAAUGGCUCACCAAGGCGUCGACGGGUAGCCGGCCUGAGAGGGUGACCGGCCACACUGGGACUGAGACACGGCCCAGACUCCUACGGGAGGCAGCAGUGGGGAAUAUUGCACAAUGGGCGCAAGCCUGAUGCAGCAACGCCGCGUGAGGGACGACGGCCUUCGGGUUGUAAACCUCUUUUAGCAAGGAAGAAGCGAAAGUGACGGUACUUGCAGAAAAAGCGCCGGCUAACUACGUGCCAGCAGCCGCGGUAAUACGUAGGGCGCAAGCGUUAUCCGGAAUUAUUGGGCGUAAAGAGCUCGUAGGCGGUUUGUCGCGUCUGCUGUGAAAACCCGAGGCUCAACCUCGGGCCUGCAGUGGGUACGGGCAGACUAGAGUGCGGUAGGGGAGAUUGGAAUUCCUGGUGUAGCGGUGGAAUGCGCAGAUAUCAGGAGGAACACCGAUGGCGAAGGCAGAUCUCUGGGCCGUAACUGACGCUGAGGAGCGAAAGGGUGGGGAGCAAACAGGCUUAGAUACCCUGGUAGUCCACCCCGUAAACGUUGGGAACUAGUUGUGGGGUCCAUUCCACGGAUUCCGUGACGCAGCUAACGCAUUAAGUUCCCCGCCUGGGGAGUACGGCCGCAAGGCUAAAACUCAAAGGAAUUGACGG
rnacentral:rRNA from 1 species